rnacentral:tRNA from 1 species
GGAUAGUGGCUCAGUGGCAGAGCGCUCGCCUAACAUGCAUGAGGUACUGGGUUCAAUCCUCAGCACCA